rnacentral:rRNA from 1 species
UGGGGAAUAUUGCACAAUGGGGGAAACCCUGAUGCAGCGACGCCGCGUGAACGAAGAAGGUAUUCGUAUCGUAAAGUUCUGUCCUAUGGGAAGAUAAUGACAGUACCAUAGAAGAAAGCUCCGGCUAAAUACGUGCCAGCAGCCGCGGUAAUACGUAUGGAGCGAGCGUUGUCCGGAAUUAUUGGGCGUAAAGGGUACGCAGGCGGUUUAAUAAGUCGAAUGUUAAAGAUCGGGGCUCAACCCCGUAAAGCAUUGGAAACUGAUAAACUUGAGUAGUGGAGAGGAAAGCGGAAUUCCUAGUGUAGUGGUGAAGUACGUAGAUAUUAGGAGGAAUACCAGUAGCGAAGGCGACUUUCUGGACACAAACUGACGCUGAGGUACGAAAGCGUGGGGAGCAAACAGG